UACAGUAAUGGCGGAUUGCUCAAAAUGUUUGUUGUGAAGGUCGUUGACCGUUUGGUGAUGAAUCUAUCUUAUUCAUUUAACUUAGUCGGUUAUAUUGACCAGUGAAAUAACUUAACAAAGAAAGAGUGAAUAGAAAUUUUAAUUUUCAGGAAUGGCGUCCGAAGAAGUGAGCUUUUUACGCGAUCAAGUGAGACGGUUGAAUGAUGUCCUCAGCCAGUAUCAGUCUCAGUAUCCUCCUCUAAGUCUACAGCCAGGAAAAGGCAGUGAUGCUUCUCCACCUUGGUUUUCUGAUAAAAGCUUGUUGUCACCUUUAGUGGUGGAAUAUGACAGUGUAAUUCAACAGCUUAGGAGAGAGAUUGAACGCUAUAAGGGAGAAAUUGGAGAACUUAAGUCACAUCUAGAGAGAUUGGUAUCUGAAAACAAAAGGCUGACAAGGGAGUUGAAGGAGAAUAUUCAACAUCAGUUAGAGGACUUUGAUUCAGAGGCCUUGAAGCCAAGCACUGGAGAAGAUGAUGAGGUUUUGGAAAACCUACAGCAGCAAAUCAUGGCUGCUUUACAGGAGAAGGAGUCUGCCGUUCAGAUGUGGCAGGAGGCGUGUCAGGAGGUGGAACGCCUGGAGCAGCAGAUUGAGGACUCCAGAAAUGAUCCACGAUUUAGACAUCUGGAGACACAGGCAAUGGCGGUGAAGGAGCAGUAUACCAGAGCAGUGGCAGAUUUGACUGCUGAAGUGCAAUCCCUGCAGGAACAGCUGAGAGUUAGCAAGAAUGAGGGUAGAACAGCCAACAUGCAGGCAGCAGAACUGCGGCAGACACUGGAAGUCUUGGGACAAGAACUGCUGAAGAGGGAACAGGAGAGAGACGACGCAAUCCGUAGAGUAGGGACAUCUGACAGCAGGGAGACGGAAAUGAGGGAGAUUAUAGUUGAACUAGAAUCAAAAUUGUCUACCCAGAACUAUGAGGUGGAUCAGCUUAAAAAGGACAAGACAGAACUGGACCAAAAACUAACAGAGCUUCAAAAGAAAAAUUCUGAUCUGGAGCAAAAGGAGUAUGAAUUUCAUUUGCAAAACAGGGAGAAUGUUCAAAUGGCAGAGAAUGCUUUGUUAGAAAAAGAUCAGGCUCUGCUCAGAGAACAGCAACAAACAGAAGAAAACCAGAGACUACAGGACCAGAUGAGUAAACUGAUAGAUGAGGCUGGCCUCAGGACCAAGAAAGAGGUGGAAAAUAUCCGUAAGCAGUGCAAUAACAAUAUUGCUAAACUCAUGGAAGAACUUCAGAAUAUGGAAAUGGACAACAGUGAGAAGCAAGCCCAGCUUGAAAGAGCUAUCAGAGAAAAGAGAGCAGUGGAGUCUGAACUAGAAAAACUGUAUCAGGAAGGCUUGGUGAUGGGAAGUAAGGAGCAGGCAAACUAUGAAGAGUUGAACAAAAGAGCUUGUCAAGCCGAAACUCUCAGGGACGAAGCUGUCAUUAAGCUGGAGUCUCUGCAGGGGAAUGUGAAGAGAAUGGAGAUGAAUCACAUUCAGGAGAAAUCACAACUUCAAAUGCAAAUUGAUCAGCUACGUGAGCGUGUGACAACAAUGUCGCAAGAAUUUGAGGAUGUCAACCAAGAGCGUAUGAAACUGCUUGACGAAACUGAUAAAUUAAAAAGAAAAAUGCAGCAGGCACAGAAAGAAAAAGAAGCUGCAGAUAGGAAAUGUAGCAAAGAGCUUACCUUACGAGAUCAGGAGCAGCUGAUGAAGGAGCGUGAGUGUGAAGUGCGCAUGCAGAGCAUGGAAGAUGCACACAGACAGUCCACCAAAGAACUCAGGAAUAUGCUGUUACAGCAACAGAGAAUGGGGGCCAAAUGGAAAGAAGAAUGCCAAGCAAUCAGCCAAAAAUUUGAAGGCAAAAUAACAGAUCUGCGAGAUGAAAAUGGCCGUUUGAAGCGCAGAGCAGAGGAGCUGACAAGGCUCCUGGAAGAGUGCAAAGAAAAAACUGUACAGGCAGAAAACCUUGUUAUAGAAUAUACCAACAAUAUUAAGAAGAUGGAGAAUCGUGUGAGAGACGCAGAGUCACGAGCCCAAGAUGCUGCUACACAGGUAUCCAAGCAAUUGGCUAGAGAACGUAGGAUGAGGCAAGAAAGACGCUUCCUGGCCAGUGAACUGGACAGGUCACAGUCAGGACAUCCAGGGGUCAGGUAGGUGGUGUGAGCACUGGGCUGGACAGGUCACAGUCAGGACAUCCAGGGGUCAGGUAGGUGGUGUGAGCACUGGGCUGGACAGGUCACAGUCAGGACAUCCAGGGGUCAGGUUCCAAGCACCACUGUUAAUGUCCGACUUGGCAUCUAAUGGUCAGUCUGGCCGUGUGUCCCGAGAGGACUCCCAGUCCGAGC
rnacentral:misc_RNA from 1 species